AAUAACUUCCAAUACUCUAUUAUUAUGUCUAAAAUCUCUCAUGAGUUCGUCUCAACAAAAUAUGAUCCACAUAGGUUGCUGUCUCCAACUCAGCAUAUAGAAUGGUUUUUGCCGAUACAUAACCAGCAUUACAGCAUUAGUAGAUAGAACAAAAAAAAGAGGCUGCUCGAUGCUCCAUCGGCAGGACCAUAUUACACGAAAUUUAACACCAAAGAGACUAGUUAAUAUACGAAUAUAAAGAUAACCAUCAUCCACAUAGGAAGCAUGUUUUUUUUUGUUGUCCGAAUAUAAGCUCAAACGAGCAAACCACACUCAGCAACCUACUCGUAGGCAGGAGUUCCAAAACGGGCACGCAAAGAGAAGCAACUCAGUACUUGUAGUCCUUGACGUGGAGGCUCUCGGUGUCAGCAGCAGCAUCACCCUUGUAGGUGCCGAGGGUAGCCUCAGAGUUGGCCUUGCACCUGGCGAGGAAGGCCGCCCUAGCCUUCUCGAUGUUCUCCACCUUGCCAGCCCAGGCCUUGAGUGUGCUCGCCUGGAGGGCACGGCCGAAGGAGAAGGACAGGGACCACGGUUUCUUGGUGUUGAGCUUGUUCAUGGCAUUGAGGUUGAGGGUGGCCUCCUCCUCGCUCUGUCCACCGGAGAGGAAGACAACAGCAGGCACAGCAGCAGGGACGGUCCUCUGGAGGGUGCGGACGGUGUACUCAGCAAUCAACUCAGGGGUCACCUUCUUAGAGUCAGAGCCUGGGGUCACCAUGUUGGGCUUCAGGAGGGUACCCUCCAGGAGGACAUGGUGCUCGUUGAGAGCCUUGUAGCAGGCAGCAAGGACGACCUCAGUGACAUAAGCGCAGCGAUCAAUGUCAUGAGGGCCAUCAACAAGGAUCUCAGGCUCAACAAUCGGCACCAGACCGUUCUCCUGGCAGAUGAUGGCAUAGCGAGCCAGGCCCUGAGCAUUCAGGUCAAUGGCAAGCUGUGAUGGCUCAUUGGGGCCGAUCUUGAGAACAGCACGCCACUUAGCAAAGCGGGCACCGGCCUCGUAGUACUUGGCGCAGCGCUUGCCAAGGUCAUCAUGGCCCUGGGUGGUGGUCUCCUUGUCCGUGCCAGCAACCUC
rnacentral:lncRNA from 1 species